UCCUCCUCUCCUCUCUUUCUCUCUCCUUUAUUUGUUUACUUUCCUUCUCUCCUUUCUUUUCAUUUAUUUGUUUCCUUUCCUUCUUUCUCUCCUUUAUUUGUUUCCUUCCCUCCUCUCCUCUUUAGCACAUGAGCUUCAAUGUGUCCUGGCUGCAGGAGGAGUAGAGGAGGGGGGCGGAGACGUGGAAACGGUGGCCCUUCAUUGGACGAAAGUAGGUCAGCCCCGCCCACUCAUGUGACCCAGCAUUCCUCUGUGCAGCCUCAGUGUUCCAGUGUGUGUGUGUGCGUGUGUGUGUGUUCGUCAUCAUAUUUAAUAAAGAUUUGAAUGUCAAACAAUAAAAAAACUUUAAAAACACAGUAAAAACUUUAGUUUUCAUGAGGUUUGAGUUUCUGCAGUUUUGACUUUUUUGUUCAGAAUUCAGUUUAAAAGUUUGAAACUUAUUAAAAUUUAAAUCUAAACAAUAAAUACAGACUAAAAUAAAGUUUUUAAAAUCACAUUAAAACUUUCAAGAAAAAAAACUGCUGCUUUAACUUUGAUUUACUUUUCUGCACAUACUUUUCAUGGAGAUCUAUGGAGACUGAAUCAUUUUUUGGACUGACUCCCAGUGGACAGUCUAGGAACUGCAGUUUUUAGGACAUUAAUAUCUGCUUCUUUAUUAAGCUCUUAUUAUUAAUGGAAGUAAAAUCAAAUAAAGCUAAACAAGAAAAAACAUUUUUUUAAUUUUUUUAAUUUUGUAAUAAAACUUUCACUUUUUGACGUUCGGAGAAUUAAACAGACUUCGGACAAAUUUCCUGUUAAACGUGUUCAGUUUGUCGGCUCUAUUAUCAGAUCAGUUUUAAUAUUUUAUUUCAUUUUUUACUGAUAAAAAGAGAGACAAUAAUAAGCCAUAGAGACUGCUUUAAUGUUUUGUUUAAAUGUUUGUUUCUGUUUGAAAGUCAGAUUUACUUUGGAGCUCUACAGAGAUCGACCCAUUUUUGGACACAGCCUCCAGUGGAC